GUCACUGGUGGUGGUUUGUGUGUGCAGCAGGAUGUUUCUUAAUACUCCUGAUAAUCGUUGUGAUGCUCGUCAGAUGUAAGAAACCAAAAGGUGAGCACACUCUCACAUGAAGCUUUAUGAAGCAGCAGGGUUAAAUAAAUCAGGCUUUUCACUCUGGAACCUAAACUCACCUUUUCUGUCUUUUCAGGGAGCAAAGCUCAGAUGGACAUGAACACAGGACUGAGCUUUAGCACAGCAGGGACUCAGACUACUCCAGAAACCAGUCAGGACAUGGUGAGACCACACACUACAGCCAAUACAAACCUGUAACUCAGUGUUUCUCUAUUUAUUUUCUGAAAUGUACAAUCUGUAUAGAUCCACAUGUUCCUGAGCAGCCGUCAUGUUGUCUUCUCUGUGCAGGCUGAUCCUGAGGAUGGAGUUUCCUACGCCUCCGUCAGCUACACCAGGAAGCCCGACAUUAAAGCCCGGGCUCACAGUAAAAAUGAUAAUGAAGAUGAUGCAGUGACCUACAGCACUGUGAAAGUUUCCUCCUCUUCUGCUGCUGAUCCCAGCAGCCUCUACGCUUCCAUCAACUAACCAACCAAAUAACAGUCCACAGUACAGUCACAUCUCAUUUCAUUACACUUACGUUACAACGAUAAAGGACUACAGACAUUUACUUCCUGUAGAAAACCUUUUUGCCCAGAAGGGGG
rnacentral:lncRNA from 1 species